rnacentral:rRNA from 1 species
GUAUAGCGUAAGCUAAUUGUAUUAAUUAAUACAAUAUCGAUUAUGUCGGAUAAAGUUCUAGAUAGAAUAAUGAUAAUGACAAUUUUCUAUCUAUAUGUCUUGGCCAAAUCUCGUGCCAGCAGCCGCGGUAAUACGAGGAAGACUAGUGUUAUUCAUCUUUAAUAGGUUUAAAGGGUACCUAGACGGUACUUUUAGCCCAAAACAGGGUACGGAUUUACUAGAGUUUUAUGUGAGAAGGGGAGUACCCAUGGAGUAGAGAUGAAAUUUUUUAAUACUAUGGGGUAACUGGUAGAGGCGAAAGCAACCUUCUAUGUAUAAACUGACGUUGAGGGACGAAGGCCCGGGUAGCAAACAGGAUUAGAUACCCUAGUAGUCCAGGCAGAAAAUUAUGAAUGUCAUAGACUAGACUGGAACGGUAAAAUUCAAACAUGAAGGGAAAUAGGAGAAUUUCCAUAAAAACCGUAAAAACCAUAUUUGCUCCAGACUAGCAAUGUUAAAACUAAAUAGGUGUAGUGGUUUAUUUAAUUUUAUGUGUUAGAAAUUUGUAUUUGUAAUUAUAUACUUUUUAAUCUAAUAUGCCCCUUUUUGUUUAGUCUAUAAAUAAAAGUGUAAGCAUUCCACCUCAAGAGUAAUGUGGCAACACAGGAACUGAAAUCAUUAGACCGUUUCUGAAACCAGUAGUGAAGUAUGUUAUUUAAUUCGAUAACCCUCGAAAAACCUUACCACAAUUUGAAUAUUAUUUACUUAAUACAAGCGUUGCACGGCUGUCUUUAGUUAAUGUCGUGAGAUUUUGGUUAGUUCCAUUAAAUUAACGUAAACCCUUGCUUUAUUUUUUUUAUAUAAAGUAGUUCGCCACUAUAUUGGAUAUGAUAAAAGGGAUUAAGACAAGUCAUCAUGGCCUUAAUAUUGUGGGCUAUAGACGUGCCACAU